GCUUGAGUGGCGCAGCGGCUAGCGCGUGGGAUUGCAGAUCCUAAGGUCAUCAGUUCAAAUCUGGUUUCAAGCU
rnacentral:tRNA from 6 species